UGCCAGCCGCCGCGGUAAUACGGAGGGUGCAAACGUUGUUCGGAAUCACUGGGCAUAAAGGGCUCGUAGGCGGUUCAUUAAGUCAGAUGUGAAAUCCCUCGGCUCAACCGGGGGACUGCAUUUGAUACUGGUGAACUAGAGUAUGGUUGGGGUGAGUGGAACUCCUGGUGGAGCGGUGAAAUGCGUUGAUAUUAGGAGGAACGCCGGUGGCGAAAGCGACUCUCUGGUCUGAUACUGACGCUGAGGUGCGAAAGCUAGGGGAGCAAACGGGAUUAGAUA
rnacentral:rRNA from 1 species